UUUUUACAGCAGUUCAUGCUAAUAUCCUUGAUUUUAAAAUUACUAAUAAUUCCUGUGUAUUUCCGUAGAACUUGCAUACUUAUGUGGGAAAUAAAAAACCUGUGCCUCCAAAAAUACUAAAAAAUGGAAAGGAAGAAUUCCCCACUUCAGAAAUGGAGGAGAAUGCAGGCAAAAAUGUUAUCCAGCUGAAGUCUCCUGUGAAAAAAGACGAUCUUCUUGAGAAAGCCAGAGAUGAACUGGUAGAAGAGAUAAGAGCCCUUGAGUUAAAAGCUGGGCACGAAGGAACCUUCACCAGGAUGGAGUUCGUAAAGCAGCAGCGUAAUCAUAGGCAGUGCAUUUAUGGUUCACUUGAGCAUGUAGCAUCUUCUCCAAGCAUUGUCUGGAUUGGGAAGUUGCACUCCUUUUGGUGGAGACUGUUCCAGUCUCCUUGUUUAAAAGUGUCACUUGCCUCCUCUGGCACUGCCAAUUUAAUAUCAUCUAGCUGUGGCUUUCUAUGUACAGCCCAUCAUUUAUAUACAGAACUAUAUUUUCUUUUUCAAGCAUAUUUUAAACAGCAGAUGUUGAGUAAAUGGCAUAACCCUAGAAAAUGAAAAAAUGAAAUGUCAAAGGAGAAACAGUGAAAUCUGUUAAAUUUGCUCCUAAUCCACAUCUCAUACCACAUCCUAACCGUUGACCCAACAAAUCAAAAUUUUAUUUGGUGCUCUACAUUCCAUUGCAUUCGUGGUCUAUAUUGCCAUCAAUUCCACCUGCUGCUACCUGUUGAUAGAGGCUGUUCCCUUUUUCUAAACUUUGUUGGAGUGCAUAUUUCUUUAGCUGUAUUACCGAAUAAAUGCUUUACACUAAAGUUAUAAAAAUUAAUUGCUUGUGAUAGUGUUAAUGCUACUUGAUUUUAACAACUGACAUGCAUUCAUUAUGUUGUAGUAAUAAUACAGGAAAUAGAGCCUGUGGUAAGGUGAGAAAGUACAACUUGAGAUUCCAAGAGGUAAACUUCUUGUAAAAGUACUGACUCCUAGCCUAAUAUGUUUAGAGGCAUUGUUUAAUAAAGUUGUUACUCUGUUCUGGAUUGUCUUCCUCCUUUCUUCCUAAACAGUUG
rnacentral:lncRNA from 12 species